GCGGCAGGCAGUACCCGGCCCAGAGCCACUGGCUGUGGUUCCUUGCGGUUUCCCUCCACGUGGCCGGCGCUGCUGCUGCCCGGGCCUCGCUGGUUUCGUUGUAGACGGAGACCGAGAGCCCCCUCGCUCCACGGCCUUUGCUUUCAAGUGCUCGGACUUGGGUGUGCUUAGAAGGUGUGAAACAUUGGCAGAGAUGGGCAGUAGUAGGUAGGAGAGAAAGCAGAGAACUCCAACCCCACCCCCACUCUCUGUAUCCAGAGGACAUCGAAUAGUGAGUGCAUUAACGUUCACAAAAAGACAAAAAUCUGUUUUAAUUCGUAGUUUUGAAAGUUUAAUAUAUGGAGCGAGGAAUGCCUGGAUUUAAAGUAAUCCAAUUAUUUUCAUCCUAAGUAUGUACUUGCAUGGUCAACACUUAAGGAUCAAGCAAAGUCAGUAUAAAAUUGUGCUUGAAAAUGUAAGGUUUAGGAGGUAAAAAUGUAACAUUUGCCCUAAAUUCACUUAGUUACUAACCCACAUGUGUUUGGAGAUUUUAUUACAGGGAUCAUAAUUAUGUAAUUGCUCAACUAGCAACAAUAGCUUCAAAUAGCCUCUAAAAACCCUGUUCAAUUAUAUGAUUACUAGUGAGACUAAAAACACUCCCGAUGAAUUGCUCUUUAUCUCUAAACGUGAACCUGUCUGAAUUACGAUCCCAAUUAUGUUUACUUCAAAGUUCUGAUGAACUUAAACAGUUAAGGUUUGCAGUCCCUACAAUAUACAAGUAUAAAUUAAGAAGACAUUCUGCCUCAUUACAAAGAAAGUCCCCUUACACAUAUACGUAUAUAUACAUGGAGUUUGUCUGUUCAUGUGUGAUACACAUACCAAUUUUUAGUGCUAAGAUUAUUGAUCCGAGAAAAAAGAUGUUACUCAAUUAAAUUUUAGAAAAUAUACCAUUAAAAAUGGGCUGUUAGCUGCAAGCUUAGCAGUUCCCAAUGUCCCCUCCUCAAACAUCAACACAGUGAUGUAUAUUUUUCUAUAGCUACAUAGUUUUUAGGAAGAAAGAUGAACAGCUAGCAAAGAGGACAGGAUGCAUGUGUAUCAUCAUCAACACACUCAGCUCAAACUUGGGAGGGAAUUUUUCCUUUCAAGAUCUUACUUCAUGCUAAGUGAUUGUGGCCACUGAGCAGCAGCCUGGCCAUAAUUUACUGUACACAGGCAGUCAACUUAACUGAGCUACAGACAAAUUGCUGAGCAUUCUAGGAUUGACUGAUGGUAGUUUUAUGAUCAGAGGGCUGGUCCACGGAACACAAACUGAUCCAGGAAGCAUUGCAGACCAAAUACACAAUAUGAGAAAUUCAGAGCUAAAUGCAAAAUUAUAGACAGCAGAAGAGAGGGUGUUUUAGACAGGCUGUGUUACCACCACUCUUCCACGUGAGUCACAGGAUCCAUCUCAGCAUCUAUCUGUGGCAAAGAAGAAACAUUGUGGCAUCCAGUUUUGUUUAGGAAAUAUCUUAACAAAAAAAGAAGAAGAAGAAGAAGAAGAAACAAAUGAAGGGGGAGAGAUGCUCCCCACUCUCAUUAUGACACGGAAGGAUCCAGAGGUGGUGUCACCUGUCAGUAGAUUUCUUCCUAAGUGUAUUCUUUAGUGAUAAAAUGUACCCUUGCAUGUCAUGUUCAGACUUUUGUAGAUUAUCUUUUUCUGUCUGCAUGUCAUCCUUUCUUCCCACGUUUGACUGUUGUAAGAAUACUUGUUCCUGCGCCGAUCACUCUUCUGCCUGUCAAAUAUGCACACAGCGUCAUGAGAUGAUGCUCCAAGUUUGUAAAAUAAGGAGAUAGAUUUUCAAGUGUGUCCUACAGAAAUCUGUCUUACGGAUUUGUAUUCACCUCGAUAAAUUGUUGACCCUUCAAAUGACAAGUGAUCAUCAUCUUUUGAUCUACAUUGCCGAUUUUCUGGGUUUCAUAUUUGGCAACAUAAAUAUCAGAAGUGCAAGUUAGGAAUGUUUUAGUGUAGAUGUUUCUCUUAAUGAUCUUUACUAAAAACCAUUCCAAGAAUAUAAUUAAGAUUUAAUAUCUUCUUAUAUUCAUUUUUUAGAAAUUGUAACUAUUGAUUUUUUUUUUUUUUGAAAAAUCACUAUCCAAUAGCCAAUGCUUCUUGAUCAUUUUGGACAUAGGGACCAUCUCACUAAAAUUGCAGACAUUUUAUUCCAAAGAACUUACUGGACUCUCUGGCAAGUUCUCACUCUAGAUUUUUUCUGGUUCUUCCUAAAGCCAAAUAACUGGUAGUGAAGUUUCUGUAUUUUUUUUAAGUAAGAAGUUUUUAAUGUGCUAGCAACAUCUGUGUGUUUAUCCCUGAAAAUAAUUGCUAAUUAUUUCCCAAAGCCAUGCAUUAUUACAGAGCUUUAUGUCAUAAUUGAAGUAAUUCCUCUGCCCUAUCUAAACCAGUAAUUUUCAGUCAUUGCUCCAGAGGUGUUUAUCUUGUCUCCUCUAUUUCCCAAAAAAUAUAGGAAGCAUAUUUUCAUUAUAUUAGUGAAAGGAAUAUACUAAUAUAUUAUAUUAUUAUAUUUAGUCUUCUGUUUCACCAGAAAUUAUUGGAUUUAAUGCAUGUAAUAAAGUUAGUAGAAUAUUUAAUACUUACAUCGAACAACAUAACCUUAUAAAUAAGUGGAUAACUUUGGAAUUUAUGUAAAAUCUUAAAAUAUAAAAUGUAUUUGUUAUUGCCU
rnacentral:lncRNA from 1 species